UGGGGAAUAUUGCACAAUGGGCGCAAGCCUGAUGCAGCCAUGCCGCGUGUAUGAAGAAGGCCUUCGGGUUGUAAAGUACUUUCAGCGGGGAGGAAGGGAGUAAAGUUAAUACCUUUGCUCAUUGACGUUACCCGCAGAAGAAGCACCGGCUAACUCCGUGCCAGCAGCCGCGGUAAUACGGAGGGUGCAAGCGUUAAUCGGAAUUACUGGGCGUAAAGCGCACGCAGGCGGUUUGUUAAGUCAGAUGUGAAAUCCCCGGGCUCAACCUGGGAACUGCAUCUGAUACUGGCAAGCUUGAGUCUCGUAGAGGGUGGUAGAAUUCCAGGUGUAGCGGUGAAAUGCGUAGAGGUCGGGAGGAAUACCGGUGGCGAAGGCGGCCCCCUGGACGAAGACUAACGCUCAGGUGCGAAAGCGUGGGGAGCAAACAGG
rnacentral:rRNA from 1 species